rnacentral:rRNA from 1 species
GAUGAACGCUGGCGGCGUGCUUAACACAUGCAAGUCGAACGGUGAAGCAGGAGCUUGCUCUUGUGGAUCAGUGGCGAACGGGUGAGUAACACGUGAGCAACCUGCCCCUGACUCUGGGUUAAGCGCUGGAAACGGCGUCUAAUACUGGAUAUGUGAUGUGACCGCAUGGUCUGCAUCUGGAAAGAAUUUCGGUUGGGGAUGGGCUCGCGGCCUAUCAGCUUGUUGGUGAGGUAAUGGCGCACCAAGGCGUCGACGGGUAGCCGGCCUGAGAGGGUGACCGGCCACACUGGGACUGAGACACGGCCCAGACUCCUACGGGAGGCAGCAGUGGGGAAUAUUGCACAAUGGGCGGAAGCCUGAUGCAGCAACGCCGCGUGAGGGAUGACGGCCUUCGGGUUGUAAACCUCUUUUAGCAGGGAGGAAGCGAAAGUGACGGUACCUGCAGAAAAAGCACCGGCUAACUACGUGCCAGUCGCCGCAGUAA